rnacentral:rRNA from 1 species
CAAUAGCGUAUAUUAAAGUUGUUGCGGUAAAAAAGCUCGUAGUUGGAUUUCUACCGAAGAUAGCCGGUCGGGUCUUCGACCUUGUAUCUGGUUUUGUCUUUGGUAUCCUCAUAGGGAACGUUUCUGCGCUUUAUUGCGUGGUGCGGUAUCUAUGACUUUUACUUUGAGGAAAUUAGAGUGUUCACGGCAGGCAAACGCCUUGAAUAUAUUAGCAUGGAAUAAUAACAUAGGAUCUUCGUCCUAUUUUGUUGGUUUCUAGGGCUAAGAUAAUGAUUAAUAGGGAUAAUUGGGGGCAUCUGUAUCAACGCGUCAGAGGUGGAAUUCUUGGAUUGCGUUGCGACAAACUACUGCGAAAGCAUUCGCCAAGGAUGUUUUCAUUGA